AGUGGCGUGUAACUGGUGAUAGAGUAAGCAAGGACACUCUUAAACGUGCGCGAUCCGCCGCAAAUCAGCCACGAGGCAUUGCAACAGGGACGUCCAGUUGGUUCAGUGCUCGGCGCGGCCGUUGCAACGAGCUGCAUUGCUGUUCGCUUGCCUGAGACUGGCAAUUGUCGAGCGUGUUGCAUUCGUUGUUACGUUGGCCGAAGACAGCAGUAAAUGUGAUCUGCAGGGUGCAAGCAACGUGUCAUUGUGGUUAGA
rnacentral:lncRNA from 1 species